rnacentral:rRNA from 1 species
CCAAACAUCUAGCCCACCAAUCACCACCUGUAUAUACUUUAAAUAAAACAUUUUUACCUUCUAGUAGGGGGGACUGAAAGAUUUUUAAGCGCUUCAGAUUAAGUACCGAAAGGGAAUGAUGAAAUAAUAAUGAAAUAAUUAUAAAGCACCGUAAAGCAAAGUUUACCACUUGUACCUUUUGCAUCAUGGUCAAGCCAGUCUAAUUAAGCAAAAAGCAAUUUUUAGUUUAACUCCCCGAAACUGGGUGAGCUACUUCAAAACAGUCUUACAGGACAAACCCGUCCCUGUUGCAAAAGGGUGGGAAGAUUUUCUAGUAGCAGUGAAAAGCUUACCGGACCCAGAGAUAGCUGGUUAUUCAAGAAAGGAAUAUAAGUUCUCCCUUAAGCUUAAUCAUCACUACAAAUACACCUUUAAACUUAAGAGCUAGUCAAAUAAGGUACAGCUUAUUUGACCUAGGACACAGCCUCAGAUACAGGGUAACAUCUUAAAUACUCACAAGUGGGCCUAAAAGCAGCCUAAAACGCGUUAAAGCCUUCAAACACACCUCCCCCAUAAUACCACACAACCUCAUGAACCCUUAAUCAAUAUUGAAUGACUCCAUAGUUAAUGGAAGACAUUAUGCUUGAACUAGUAACAAGAAUAUGACAUUCUCCUAAAUGUAAACAUAAGCCGCAAUAGACAAUCUAACGGCAAUUAACGUAAAUGAACCCGCUGCAACAACCAUCAAGAAAACCUUGCACAACCCAACGUUACCCUAACACAAGAGCAUUUCAGGUAAAAUUAAAAGGAGAAGAAGG